rnacentral:tRNA from 1 species
GGGCGAGUGGUGUAAUUGGUAGCCACGCCAGUCUUAGGAACUGGUGCCGCAAGGCAUGGGAGUUCGAGUCUCCCCUCGCCCA